GACGAACGCUGGCGGCGUGCUUAACACAUGCAAGUCGAACGGAAAGGCCCUGCUUUUGUGGGGUGCUCGAGUGGCGAACGGGUGAGUAACACGUGAGUAACCUGCCCUUGACUUUGGGAUAACUUCAGGAAACUGGGGCUAAUACCGGAUAGGAGCUCCUGCUGCAUGGUGGGGGUUGGAAAGUUUCGGCGGUUGGGGAUGGACUCGCGGCUUAUCCGCUUGUUGGUGGGGUAGUGGCUUACCAAGGCUUUGACGGGUAGCCGGCCUGAGAGGGUGGCCGGCCACAUUGGGACUGAGAUACGGCCCAGACUCCUACGGGAGGCAGCAGUGGGGAAUAUUGCACAAUGGGCUGAAGCCUGAUGCAGCAACGCCGCGUGCGGUAUGACGGCCUUCGGGUUGUAAACCGCUUUCGCCUGUGACGAAGCGUGAGUGACGGUAAUGGGUAAAGAAGCACCGGCUAACUACGUG
rnacentral:rRNA from 1 species